rnacentral:lncRNA from 1 species
UUGGUACAAACAAAAGCUUCUCUGACUGUUAAAGUGUACAGAGAUACAGAGAUACACAGAUACACAGAUACACAGAUACACAGAUACACAGAUACAAUACACAGAUACACAGAUACACAGAUACAGAGAUACACAGAUACACAGAUACAGAGAUACAGAGAUACAAUACACAGGUACAGAGAUACAGAGAUACACAGAUACACAGAUACACAGAUACACAGAUACACAGAUACAAUACACAGGUACAGAGAUACAGAGAUACACAGAUACACAGAUACACAGAUACACAGAUACAGUACACAGGUACAGAGAUACACAGAUACACAGAUACACAGAUACACAGAUACACAGAUACAGUACACAGGUACAGAGAUACACAGAUACACAGAUACACAGAUACACAGAUACACAGAUAAACAGAUACACAGAUACACAUAUACAGUACACAGGUACAGAGAUACACAGAUACACAUAUACAGUACACAGGUACAGAGAUACACAGAUACAGAGAUACACAGAUACACAGAUACACAGAUACACAGAUACACAGAUACAGUACACAGGUACAGAGAUACACAGAUACACAGAUACACAGAUACAGAGAUACAGAGAUACACAGAUACACAUAUACAGUACACAGGUACAGAGAUACACAGAUACAGAGAUACACAGAUACACAGAUACACAUAUACAGUACACAGGUACAGAGAUACACAGAUACACAGAUACACAGAUACACAGAUACACAGAUACACAGAUACACAGAUACAGAGAUACAGAGAUACACAGAUACACAUAUACAGUACACAGGUACAGAGAUACACAGAUACAGAGAUACACAGAUACACAGAUACACAGAUACAGAGAUACACAGAUACACAGAUACACAGAUACACAGAUACACAGAUACACAUAUACAGUACACAGGUACAGAGAUACACAGAUACAGAGAUACACAGAUACACAGAUACACAGAUACAGAGAUACACAGAUACACAGAUACACAGAUACAGAGAUACACAGAUACACAGAUACAGAGAUACACAGAUACACAAGUACAGUACACAGGUACACAGAUACACAGAUACACAGAUACACAGAUACAGAAAUACAGUACACAGGUACACAGAUACACAGAUACACAGAUACACAGAUACUGUGCAGUGUGUUCAGCUGAGUCUCUGUCGUUGGUCCAGCUGUUUGGCAGCUUCAGGUGUGCUCUCUGUUUUGUCUCUUUGUGUUUUCUGGUGCCGGUGCAGCAGUGACACACCGAUAAGCCCAGCUGUGAUGAUGCUGGCACUUUCUAUUGUGUCAGAACGUUUAGGGCUCAGCGGGGCUACAUCGGCCCCACAGACAGACGGCUGCUGCUGCUGCUGCUGCUCGACAAGCUGGUGA